rnacentral:rRNA from 1 species
UACGUAGGGGGCGAGCGUUGUCCGGAUUUAUUGGGCGUAAAGAGCGUGUAGGCGGCCAGGUAGGUCUGCUGUGAAAACUCGAGGCUCAACCUCGAGACGUCGGCGGAAACCAUCUGGCUAGAGUCCGGAAGAGGAGAGUGGAAUUCCUGGUGUAGCGGUGAAAUGCGCAGAUAUCAGGAAGAACACCGGUGGCGAAGGCGGAUCUCUGGGCCUUACCUGACGCUCAGGUGCGAAAGCUAGGGGAGCGAACAGG